AUUGAACGCUGGCGGCAGGCCUAACACAUGCAAGUCGAGCGAGCGGCGGACGGGUGAGUAAUGUCUGGGAAACUGCCUGAUGGCGGGGGAUACCUACUCGAAACGGUAGCUAAUACCGCAUACCAUCAGAUGUGCCCAGAUGGGAUUAGGUAGUAGGUGGGGUAACGCCUCACGUAGGCGACGAUCCCUAGCUGGUCUGUGAGGAUGACCAGCCUGCCUGGGACUGGGACGCGCAGCAGAUUCUGCCGGGUGGCAGCAGUGGGGAAUAUUUGUCAGUGGGCGCAAGUCUGAUGCACCCAUGCCGCGUGUGUGAAGAAGUCUUUCGGGUUGUAAAGCACUUUCAGCGGGGAGGCGUUACCCGCAGAAGAAGCACCGGCUAACUCCGUGCCAGCCGCCGCGGUAAUAC
rnacentral:rRNA from 1 species